rnacentral:rRNA from 1 species
UACGAAGGGGGCGAGCGUUGUUCGGAUUUACUGGGCGUAAAGGGCGCGCAGGCGGCUCAUUUUGUCAGGCGUGAAAGCCCCGGGCUUAACCUGGGAACUGCGUUUGAUACGGAUGGGCUAGAGUUCGGGAGAGGAGAGUGGAAUUCCCAGUGUAGAGGUGAAAUUCGUAGAUAUUGGGAAGAACACCGGUGGCGAAGGCGGCUCUCUGGGACGGUACUGACGCUGAGACGCGAAAGCGUGGGGAGCAAACAGG